ensembl:misc_RNA Metazoa_SRP Metazoan signal recognition particle RNA
GCCAGGUGUGGUGGCGUGUGCCUGUAAUCCCAGGUAUUUGGGAGGCUGAGGCAGGAGAAUUGUUUGAACCCAGGAGGCUGAGGUUGUAGUGAGCUGAGAUUGGGCCACUGCACUCCAGCCUGGGCGACAGAGCAAGACUCUGUCUCAA